UAUUAGUUGAAUGCAUUUUAAAUAGGAGAGAGGGCUCGAGGGUCGCGGGGUCGGGCUCGAGAUCGGGAGGUCGAGCCGGAGUCGAGGUCGCGCGAUCGAGGUGACUCAGGUGAGGUCUGAGUCAGGUGAGCUGAGGUCGAGGUCGCGGAGUCGAGGUGACUCAGGUGACAAGGUGAGGUCGCCUUUGUCUGAGGUCGGAUAGAGGGCUCGAGGUCGAGGGCUUGAGGGUCGCGAGGUCGGGGUUGAGGUCGCGGGGUCGAGGUCGCGGGGUCGAGCUGGGGUCGAGGUGACUCAGGUGAGCUGGGGUCGAGGUCGUGCGAUUGCGCGGAAGGGUAGAAGGUGGAGGCUAGAUUCGUGGAACCCGGAAUUGGACGUCUGGAAGUCUGGAAGGAUCCGAACGAAAUCAGAGCAAAAACAGAUUUUCCGAUCGGCAGCAGAGAGUGAGACUGGGAGCGUCGGGCAUGGCGUCUUCUUCACCUCUGCUGGAGCAAACUCGCAUUCCUCUGCCUCCGAACCCUGUUGAGAAGCCUCCAGAUCAUGGACUCCCCAUUGCAUCAGUACCGAUCCAUAUUGUUACUGCUGCAAAUGAACUUCCAGCUGAAUUUUUGACCCCUUCACCUGAAAAGCAAUCAGUGAUUGGAUUUGAUUGUGAGGGCGUUAACCUAUGUCGCCAUGGAUCCCUUUGUAUCAUACUGGUGAACCCCAUUACAUAUCCUUACAUUGACUAAUACUAUGAUAGAGUUGUCGAAGUUGGCCCUCUCGCCGUCUGGGAUAUUUAUAAUUUGACUGUCAUAGGGUGUUGAUGUAGCAAUAUUCUGUAUAUGCUUCUAUAGUCUUAGAUCAUUAUUGUCAGUUUAAGAUGGUUUGUGAAACAAUAUCCUGUAACUGCUUUCAACAAUCAGCAUUCAGUACAAUGUAAUGUUCAGAUAUAAAUUAUUAUCACAGAUUAAUAUACAUUACUGCCUACAGAGUUUACAUUCUUUAAUAUUCAGAUGUCAAAUCAGAACAUUUUCACCGUAUCAUCUGUAUAAUGAAACAGCAAAGCAUAUAUUGGACAACUGUGAAGUGUCCUUUUAUACUUGUUUGUCUCGCUUAAAGAAUUCCCUAGCCUUCUCUUUGGAGAGGAGCAACAUCAUUUCAAGUUCUACUCAUGAUUGACCGGAAAACGUAAAAUGAUGGAAGAGGGGCUUUUAAAUGUUGUCAUGAAUUUAGAAGCCAAUAGGGAGGGCCUCCUCUCCUGAUAGCCAGAUGCAAACUAACUUAUUAUGCAGUCCAGUUACGAGAUCAAACCAGUCUACAAUACUAGUGAUGAACCUACCUGAAAGAGUGGCUACGUUUAGAGGUUGCUUUUCCAGAUGCUAUAUACUUAGUUGAUGCCCUUACUGGUGGAGAGACACUCAUGAAAGCUUGCCAGCCGGCACUUGAGUCUUCAUACAUCACGAAAGUUAUCCAUGAUUGUAAACGAGAUAGUGACGUCUCUAACUGUUUUUAUUUCUUUUCAUGCAUCAUCACCUGUCAC